AGCGGCGGAUGGGUGAGUAACACGUGGGGAACCUGCCCCUAAGUCUGGGAUACCAUUGGGAAACAGGUGCUAAUACCGGAUAAUAAAGCAGAUCGCAUGAUCAGCUUUUGAAAGGCGGCGUAAGCUGUCGCUAAGGGAUGGCCCCGCGGUGCAUUAGCUAGUUGGUAAGGUAACGGCUUACCAAGGCGACGAUGCAUAGCCGAGUUGAGAGACUGAUCGGCCACAUUGGGACUGAGACACGGCCCAAACUCCUACGGGAGGCAGCAGUAGGGAAUCUUCCACAAUGGACGCAAGUCUGAUGGAGCAACGCCGCGUGAGUGAAGAAGGUUUUCGGAUCGUAAAGCUCUGUUGUUGGUGAAGAAGGAUAGAGGUAGUAACUGGCCUUUAUUUGACGGUAAUCAGCCAGAAAGUCACGGCUAACUACGUGCCAGCAGCCGCGGUAAUACGUAGGUGGCAAGCGUUGUCCGGAUUUAUUGGGCGUAAAGCGAGCGCAGGCGGAAAAAUAAGUCUAAUGUGAAAGCCCUCGGCUUAACCGAGGAACUGCAUCGGAAACUGUUUUUCUUGAGUGCAGAAGAGGAGAGUGGAACUCCAUGUGUAGCGGUGGAAUGCGUAGAUAUAUGGAAGAACACCAGUGGCGAAGGCGGCUCUCUGGUCUGCAACUGACGCUGAGGCUCGAAAGCAUGGGUAGCGAACAGGAUUAGAUACCCUGGUAGUCCAUGCCGUAAACGAUGAGUGCUAAGUGU
rnacentral:rRNA from 1 species